GUACCACUCCUGUAACCAGGAGUCGCCUGCACCACGCUGAGCUUGCUUAAGCGGAACAUGGUGGGGGACACUGCCUGACCUCUAUUCCCAGGCACUCAACCCGUGUCAUUGAGGAAUCAAGGGGUUGUCUUUUUUCCUGGGCUGUUUUUUGUCACUGUUGACUUAAGGCACCAUGGCUGCUGGUCAGCAAAUUCAAUUGUUUACCGUCAGAAGUAGCCUGUGGGGUCUCUGGAGACUUCACUCACCAAGAAAGAGUUGGUUUCUCCCCAUGGUGUGCCACAGUCAUCGGGUUUAAAAAGCUGCUCUUGAAAGUCAACCCACCCACCAAAUGUUGGUAAUGGUAGCUGAUGCUAUUUGAACUUUUGCUAGUUGAUGCUGUUUGGGCGUUUGCUAGAUGUGUGUGUGUUUUUUUAGAUGGGUUCCUUAGUGUACAGACAAACAAUAUACCCCUUAUAUAUAAGGCAAGUAGGGGCAGGUUUGGGUCAAACAGGGCUGGUAUACAACUCCUCAGCCAAGGCUGUGGGAGAGCGACAGCAGACCCAUCCUGCAAGUACAUUGCUCCUGAGAGCAGUUUCCUUAUUUUUACAUUUAUUAAAACACAUUUUGAGGCAAUGGGCUAAGUUUGACAUAACUGUUCAAUCUCAAUACUAAAUCCGUCAACAUCAGGCAAACAUUUAACGGUGGGCCAGCCAAGCAGAGAAAACCUAAUAUAUAUGUUUUCUCAGGGCCUCUCGCCCAUAUAAAUCUAACUCCACCCCAGCCCCCCUUUCCCCUCAUUCCUUAUGGCUCUGGAAUUUGUUGGGGUUCCUGCAAGCUGGUGUGAGCUACAAAGUUCUUUUUAACUUCUGCUUAUUUAACAAACCUGCAAUACCUUUCAGGACAUGGGCGGUAAAGCGGAGCUAAUAAACAUUUCCGAUAAAGAGUGUCGUUAGUGGGAGGAUGAUUUUUAUCAAACGCUGCCGGCUGGCUCCAAAGACGGCAUGUGAAACAGAUCUGGGAGAGGGGUAAACAUUUACUCCAGCAGCCAAUGAAGCCCCUUUAAGAAUGGCCAGCUUACAACAGCCUUCAUACUUUAAUAGAUUUGAUUUUCCACAUGGCUUCAUUUCGUCUGGGUGGCUAACUGACACAAUUUAUACCCCGCUUCCUUUCCCAGGUCACUACAGUAUACCACUCAGUAAAGUAUGCCUCAGAGCCCGUCUGUGCUACACAACCGAGCUCCCAUUCAUUAGUGUCUGAAACACUUCAGCUGUGAAGGGGUUCCUAAAUGUUACCAUGUGUGACGCUUCUUCGAAAUCAUAGCAAAUCAGGGGAGGGGAGGGGAGGGGAGGAGAGAAGCCUUCAUGGCAGGAGGCUCAUGCCCUCCCAUGAAUUCGAGCACGUGCACACACACACACACACACACACACACACACAGAGUCGUGGAGCCUCUAUCCUGGCUUGCUACACAGCCCACGACUUCCUUAGUCCUUCACAAGAGGUUUUAAGCAUUCAUUCUCUUCCCUUAAAGACCGAGGGAGCUGUAAAUCCCAGGAAUAAACACACAUACAAAUGAAUGGAUUGCAGCUUCGGAAGCAGAAUCGCAGCGGCAUCCAGUCACGGGAGCUCACACCGACUUUGUUUAGUCUGCUUUUGGUUCUGUGGGAAAUGUGGAACGCAUGAAGCUACCUCCCUUCGCCUCCCAGGCCCCGCCAAACUGUGGGCUUCACAUCUUGACGAGGCAACAGGCCAUGACCCCGAGAUUCUCAACGGAGUCCUGGUUAGAAAGGAGGAUGUAGCAUGAUCAAAGCCAUGGGCAGGCGAAUGAGAGACAAGCCGAGGAUGGGGCGCCCUCUGACCCUGUCUUUUCACUUAAUAUUUAAAUUCCUGAAAGUCACUAAACUGUUUGGCAGAUCCCUCCUUUGUCCCCUCCCAAAGGACUCACUUCCCCUUAUGACAGGAGAUAUGGACUCACUUCCCCUUAUGACAGGAGAUAUGGACUCACUUCCCCUUAUGACAGGAGAUAUGGACUCACUUCCCCUUAUGACAGGAGAUAUGGACUCACUUCCCCUUAUGACAGGAGAUAUGGACUCACUUCCCCUUAUGACAGGAGAUAUGGACUCACUUUAGGUUGCUCCUCUGGAAGAGACCACAGCAGAGGAGUAGGUAGCUGUGUCCCACCUCACCCUCUCACAGGGAGCAGAUUUAAUGGGAUGAAGUCAAGCGGAAACCACCCCUGGAUGGAGCUAUGAUUAUUCCGUUUCUAUCAGCUUGAUAGUCUUCUUUCUAGAAACCUAAGUACUUGAAGAUCAUAGCACGUUCUCAGGCUAUGAGCUUACGGGAGGAGACUUUGCGCCAGAUGGAAUGUCAUCAGCCUUGCGGAAGGUUCCCAGGAGCCUUGCUGGACCUGAGCGGCUGGAAAUCCCAAUAGCCAAUCCUCUUAGUUACAACUCAGCUCCAACGGGACAGUCCCUUGAUUCUUUUGCUUAGCAGCUCUUAACACAACACGGAGAGUGGCUGUAUUUAUGUCUCUUUCCGCUGACCUUGAAAUUCUUCUGCUUCUAACUAUCAAUUAGGAUUGGGAACUUAACAAGGAGCUCAGGGUGGGAAAUCUCACUCCACUAAACGUUGGGUGGCAAUGUGGCUCUCAUAAGUUUGGCACGGUGGGUUUCUCAGAGGUUUAGUUAGUGGAGAGCGUAUUGCUUGGCCUAGCCUCUGCUGGCCUCCCCCCAAAACAAUGCCAAGGUUGGCCAAGAGAGUGAUACUGGUAGGGUGGGUAGCUCUUUCCAACUCUCACCUUUCUAAGUGACCUGGGUUUUUGCUCCGUGUGUGGCUCUCCCCACCACCCCCACCCCAGGGUGUAAGCAACUAAUAGAAGAAAAGAAAAAUCGAGUUGGGUACAAAGAUAUGGUUGUAAAACUGACUCUAGUCCUCCUUUCCACUAAACCUACAACCCAUGGCUCCUGUGCUGUGCAAGGGACAGACAGAAACAAGGGGUAUCUGGGAUAAGUGACUGUCUCUGCUGUCCCCAAAGGGAUGAUAUGGCCACCACAGAGAUCAACAUCUAGGCUCAAUCCUCUUUAGUUACUUAGCAGAUGUGGCGGUGGGUUCUGGACCAUAGCUUGCACCUCUCCAGAUGUUUCUAAAGAUGGCUUCCCAUUUGCCACCCAUUUCCCAAGGAGCAUUGACUGCUGUUAAGUUCCCAUGACAGCCUUGAAAUGCUAAGGAGAUUGACAUAGUGUGCCUGAGAGUUGCACACACCUCAUUAGGGGCUGGUUAAUGGACUGGGGAAGCCAAAUACCAGCGCUCUGGUCAAGGUUUACCUGUUCAGAACGCAGCUUCUGGAAUGUUACGCUAAAACUUUUCGGACUUUUCGGAGCAGAUUUGCAUGGGGACGUCACUCAGUGAAUGCACGAGACACUAAACAUGUCCCUGCCAUUCACUGCUAAUUAGAACAACCAGCAUAAAACAGGUUUUGUUGGCUAGUUGGUUGGUUGGUUGGUUGGUACAAGACUUUGGCUGCCCUCAAGCUCAGGGAUGGAACUAAAGGCACGCAUUACCACUACCACCUGGCUGUAUAUGUCUCUCCCCCACCUCCUCUCUGUGUUGUGUAUGUGUGCGUAUGUCUGUGCACAUACAUGCAUGCACAAAUCUGCAUGUGCAUGGGCAGGCAGAGGUCAAUGGGUAUUUGCUAACCUGCUUGCUAUAAGAAUCUCCAAUGACUUAUGCCCUCUGAGGCUGUCAUCAGCAGGCUACAGUGCCCACUGGACCUUUACCGGAGUUCUAAGGGCCUGAGGUUUGUGUGCUAAGCGCUUUAGCCGCUGUGUCCUCUCCCCAGCUCUGCCCUGAGUGCCGACUCUUUGAAUGAAAAUACUAAAAAAAAGUCAA